GGCUAGUCCGAUGGCAGUGGGUUAUCUGCCAUCAGUGAACUUAUUAACAUUAGUGUCACUAAAGUUGGUAUACCACCCCCCCACUGCUAAAUUUGACUGGCUUAAA
rnacentral:Y_RNA from 1 species